AGACCCGAAACCCGGUGAUCUAGCCAUGGGCAGGUUGAAGGUUGGGUAACACUAACUGGAGGACCGAACCGACUAAUGUUGAAAAAUUAGCGGAUGACCUGUGGCUGGGGGUGAAAGGCCAAUCAAACCGGGAGAUAGCUGGUUCUCCCCGAAAGCUAUUUAGGUAGCGCCUCGUGAAUUCAUCUCCGGGGGUAGAGCACUGUUUCGGCUAGGGGGCCAUCCCGGCUUACCAACCCGAUGCAAACUGCGAAUACCGGAGAAUGUUAUCACGGGAGACACACGGCGGGUGCUAACGUCCGUCGUGAAGAGGGAAACAACCCAGACCGCCAGCUAAGGUCCCAAAGUCAUGGUUAAGUGGGAAACGAUGUGGGAAGGCCCAGACAGCCAGGAUGUUGGCUUAGAAGCAGCCAUCAUUUAAAGAAAGCGUAAUAGCUCACUGGUCGAGUCGGCCUGCGCGGAAGAUGUAACGGGGCUAAACCAUGCACCGAAGCUGCGGCAGCGACGCUGAUGCGUUGUUGGGUAGGGGAGCGUUCUGUAAGCCUGCGAAGGUGGCCUGUGAGGG
rnacentral:rRNA from 7 species